rnacentral:ncRNA from 1 species
UCUUUACGAGCUGAACCGCCGCCGGAUGGCGUGCUUGUCUGAGAAAUCAGACUAGGCCGUAAAGACGAA